rnacentral:lncRNA from 1 species
UUUAUGGCUGCAUAGUAUUCCAUGGUGUAUAUGUGCCACAUUUUCUUUAUCCAGUCUAUCACUGGUGGGCAUUCGGGUUGGUUACAAGUCUUUACUAUUUUGAAUAGUGCUGCAAUAAACAUACAUGCGCAUCUGUCUUUAUGGUAGAAUGAUUUAUAAUUCCUUGGGUAUAUACCCAGUAAUCCCAUGUCUAUUUUUUUUUUAAAAAAAGGAAUUUUAGGAAACAAAAAGAAAUGAGUACUAAUGCUACAUGCUACAACUAGGAGAAUUAGAAAAUAUUAUGCUAAGUGAAAAAAGCCAGACACAAGAGACUAUACAUUGUGCCAGUCUAUUCAUAUGAAAUUCCAGAAUAGGCAAAUCCAUAGGGAUAGAAAGCAGAUUUGCAGUUGCCAGGGCUAAGGUGGGGACACAAGAAUAGGCGGGUGAUAACUAAAGGGUAUACCGUUUCUUUUUCAGGUGAUAAAAAUAUGCUACAAUUAACUGUGGUGAUGUUGCACAACUCUGUAAAUACACUAAAAAUCACUGACUUGUACACUUUCAAUUGAUGAGAAAACUGAGAUAUACAGAGAUCAAGAAUCAUCCAAGGUCACACAAUACGAGGUGGGGUCAGAAUGCAAACCCAGGCAGUGUGCCUACCUAGCCCAGACUCUUAACCACUAAGAUGUCACUAAAGAAGCAUCAACAUCAACAGGAAACACUUUAACACUACCUAAUGUCCAACAACAAGGAUUGAUUAAACACAUUCCAGAAUAUUCACUUGACAGAAUUAAUGGAUGGAUGGGAUGGAUGGAUGGACUGACAAAUGGAUGGAUGGAUGAAUAAAACAGUGGGUGGGUUAGGGGAUGAACGAGUGGAUAUAUAAAUGGUUGAGUGGGUAGAAGGGUGGAGGAUGGAUGGAGGAUGGAUGCAUGGAUGGAUGGAUGGAUGGAUGGAUGGAUGGAUGAAUAGAUGGAUACACUAACGAAUGAAUAGAUGGAUGAAUGAAAGAGUAGGUGGGUUGGGAUGAAUGAGUGGAUAUAUAAAUGGGUGAGUGGGUAGAUAGGUGGAGGAUGGAUGGAGAAUGAAUGGAUGAAUGGAUGGAUGGAUGGAUGGAGGAUAGAUAGGUGGAUGGGUAGAAAGGGUGGAUGAAUGGGUAGGUGAGUGCAUGGAUGAAGAGAUGUAUGGAUGGGUGACAGGGUAGGUGGGUGAGUGAGUGGGUGGAUGGAUAGAUGGAUUGAUGGAUAGAUGGGCAGAUGGAUGGACUGACAAAUAGACAGAUGUAAAAUGAAAGACUGGGUGGUUGAGUGGAUAAAUGAGUGGAUAUAUGAAUGGGUGAGUGGGUAGAUGGGUGAAGGAUGGAAAAAGAAUGGAUGGAUGGAUGGAUGGAUGGAUGAAUAAAUGAAGGACAGAUAGGUGGAUGGGUAGAUGAAUGGGUGGAUGAAUCGAUAGGUGAGUACAAAGAUGAAUAAAUGUAUGGAUGGGUAAGAGGGUGGGUGGGUGGGUAGGUGGGUGGAUGGCUGUAUGGAGGGAUGGACCGACGGACGGACUCAUUGAUGGUCUAAAUCACAAAACCUUCCUUUGGUAGCAUGUCGUCAUUUUUGUUUCCACUUACAUGUAUUGAACAUCAACUUCAUGGUAGGCAAACCUCCAGGUUCCAUGUUAAGCCCUCAAUAAAACAGGAAACAAUUACACAGCAAAACCCAAUACUUCUGCUCCCAGAAGUAAAACCUUAAAUGGUAAGCGCAGACAUUGUGAGGGAGCCCUCAAACCAGAAAGUGUUAUCUUCUUAAGUUCUUAAAAUCUCUUCGUUUUAUAAAAUAGAGAGAAUUCAAAAGAAGUCACAAAGUGUGAAAGUCUUUAUUUGCAGUCUAAAUCUCAAGGAACCACAGACAAAAAGCCCCACAGCUGUCUGCAGUGAUUCAUCAGCUCUAACAGAAGUAGCAGCACUUCAACCUGGAACUGGGGUGUAUGAAUGGGUCAGGAGAGAUGUUUCUUAAAACUUGUGUAGCCACAGGUCUCACCUACAUCCCAGUGAAGCGGGAUUGGCAUUAGCCCCCAGAAACCCCAGACAUUGUGAGCUCUAUCUUAAUUUGUUGUCAUCUUAAUGCAAGUAAGAUUAUUUUCUCUGUUUUUUGUUUGUUUGUUUGUUUGUUUUUUGGGGGUUUUUUUGCCCCUUUCAUCUCAGUCCAUCAAGAUUUUCUAUAAUAUAUAUCAGUUCAAAUUGUUUUAGUAUUUUUUUUAAUUUAACCCCUUCAAAAUCAAUUAAGGAUGAAGAUAAGUAAGAACUGAAAGCAACAUCCUGGUCUCCCCAGAAGAAAUGGUGCUGAUAAAGUGCCUGAACACAGGCUUGGCACCCAGUAAGUGGUAAAGAGAUCACUUAGUGGUUGCGGUGGUGGUGGGACUGUACUAUUCCUCCUGCCUCUUCUGCUGCUUCUGCAAAGGGAAAAGGGAACCUCCCUACUGGAGUGAGUCAUAUAGACACCUGAUACUCAUUCAUUCAUUUAUUCACCCAUUUAAUAUGUUCAAAACCCCCAGGAAUUAGGUAUCAUUAUUCCUGUUUGGAAAAUAAAGAAACUGAAGCACAGAGAAGUUAGAGCAACUCAUCAAAGCUACACAGAAGCAGCAAAAGACUGAGAUCAGAUCAGUGUGAUUCUAAGUCCAGAGACGCAGAAAAGGCAGGAGCCCUGGGGAACACACGCUGGGUCUGGUUAGCACAUGUGUACUGCUGACAUCCUGCUCCCUAGGCCUGCUCCUCUUUGCCUUUAUUUUCACCUCCCCAUUCCCUAAGCAACUCUAUUAACCAUAGCACAGCUCUGGAAAGCAGAGAUUUCUUUCCCCUUCACACAUUGCAUCCUUUAACACCAGCUUUACACUGACACCAUGAAGAUAUCCUUUCUGCAGGAAGCCCUGUUCAGACCUCCUGACCUGAGAAAGCAACAAGGUGAUGACCAAAAGAAGGAAAAAAAGAAAUUAGCAUGUAGGAGCACCCUAUAGAAGGUACUUUAUUUCCAUCAUUUUAUUUAAUCCUCCCAACAACCUUACAAGAAAAUGUCAUUGUCUUCAAAAUACAGGUGAAGAAACUGAGGCUCUAGGAGGUUAAGCAACUUGCCCAUGUGAUAGGUAAUAUUCCAGCUCUGUAAGACCUACAGUCAAAGGCCAUAUAGGGGUCUCCACCAAACUAAGGUUUUAGUGGCAUGGGUCAACACAGCAAAGGAAUUUUCUGGUCAAGCUCUCUUCCAGUUGACAGAGGAACAGAACGGUAAUGUUAUCUCUGUGACAGCUGGCAGCAUGUCCCCCAGGAGAAGGAAGUGGACAGUCCUGGAUCCCCACCCACAGUCCUCCUGCAGUGAGCUCUGCAAGCCUAGCAGUAGGAACCAGUGCCACUGAGCCACCUGUCUCCCCUAGGCCUGGGAUGCCUCUGUAAACAGAAACCUAAGGGUCUCUCUGAUGCCACAAAUGUGAAAAACCCCUGACCUACAGGGUGAGUGACAGAUACAGGAUGACGAAACCAUGGUGCUAGAGGCCCUCCAUCGAGGAAGUGCAUUCACAACACUUUAAUCUGCAAAACCACUCCCCCACGCUGGGGGCAGGUGCUGCUAGCACCCUGCAAGUUCAACAAACCAAUCAAGGUGAGAGGUUCAAGCAAACUGCCCGAGGGUCCCCCAGCUAGAAUGCAGGGGCCUGAGGGUUUUUAACUGAGACCUUCUAACUCCAAAUCCCAUGUGCUGUCCAUGACACCAGCCAACCUCUUCUGUGUCACCUGAGCAACUGGAAAAGCCGAUCACCAUUCCCUAUGACAGCCAGUGACCAUGCAAACAGGAGCCAAAAGAAACACAUAAAUACUCAAAUACCCACAGCAACAAGCAGUCCAGUAGACUGGAAUCAAGAGUGCCCGCAGUACAUAAUCCCAGCCUGACACUUACUAGCUGUGUGGCCUUGAGAAAGCCACCAGACCUUUCUGUGCCUUCAAUUCCUCAUCCCUAAAAAGAAUAUAAAAACAGUACCCCCUUCAUGGAGUUGGUGUGAGGAUUAAAACACUUCAAAUGAUGGCUGUGUACUGUAGGAACACAGUGAGUAAACGUCAGCUGUUAUAAUUAUUGUUGUUAUUACUACUACCACAAAGAGAUGACAGUGCGCAAGUUAUCAACCUGGAGCAAGAGGUGAUUUCUGCCCUAGAUUUAGCUUUUGGUAGCAAAAUACCACAAUGAUAGCAUUGCUCUGUGAUGCCUCUGGAGAAAUUUGGAGUCAAUUCAAUCCUCCCUAUGACCAGGACAGCUUGGAAGGGUUUCUCCAGCGACCUUCCACUUAUGUUGUCCCUCUUGACCCAGAAGACAGGGAAGGGCAGGGGGUACCAGUGACACCACUGGUUCACCCACAAGAAGUAACACGUGGCCGCGACCCAACUACACAGCCCUGUGACUGUCAGGAUACCCCCUCCUGCUAUCAAUCAGCAAGGCUGCUGCAGGCAGAAGGUAAAGCUCGCACUUGUCUCUGUAUUAUCCACACACAGGUCCUUGGAAUGUAAAGAGUGGAUGGAAAGGAAGCAAACCUCAGAAGACUAGCUCUGUUCCCGAGACCUUCCUUCUCCCCUGGGCUCCAACAGGUACCUGCACAAAAUGCUGGGCUGUACCUGCGUGAAAAUAAGGGCAAUUACUCCCCAUUCCCAUGACAAUCCGCAAAUGAUGGGGGACUAAAAUCCAACUCUGUCUGAGCAAAA